rnacentral:rRNA from 1 species
AUCGAUGAAGAACGCAGCGAAAUGCGAUAAGUAAUGUGAAUUGCAGAAUUCAGUGAAUCAUCGAAUCUUUGAACGCAUCUUGCGCUCCUUGGUACUCUGAGGAGCAUGCCUGUUUGAGUGUCAUUAAUCUCUCAACUACAUCAAUCUUUCUGGUUUGGUGUGGCUUUUGGAUGUGGGGGUCUUAUUUUGCUGGCUUCUAUUAAAUGAGGUCAGCUCCCCUGAAAUUUAUUAGUGGUAUCUGAGCAGAGAGACCUACUACAGGUGUGAUAAAUUAUCUACACCUUGGUAAUGCUGCAUGAACAGAUUGUGCUGCUUCCAAUGAAUAUUUGACAAAUUUGACCUCAAAUCAGGUAGGACUACCCGCUGAACUUAAGCAUAUCAAUAAGCGGAGGAAAAGAAACUAACAAGGAUUCCCCUAGUAACUGCGAGUGAAGCGGGAAAAGCUCAAAUUUGAAAUCUGGCAGUUCUUUUGACUGUCCGAGUUGUAAUCUAGAGAAGUGUUACCUGUGCUGGACCGUGUACAAGUCUUCUGGAAUGGAGCAUCAUAGAGGGUGAGAAUCCCGUCUUUGACAUGGACUACCAGUGUGCUGUGGUGCGCUCUCAAAGAGUCGAGUUGUUUGGGAAUGCAGCUCAAAAUGGGUGGUAAAUGCCAUCUAAAGCUAAAUAUUGGCGAGAGACCGAUAGCGAACAAGUACCGUGAGGGAAAGAUGAAAAGAACUUUGGAAAGAGAGUUAAACAGUACGUGAAAUUGCUGAAAGGGAAACGCUUGAAGUCAGUCACGUUGGCUAGAAAUCAGCCCUGCUUUUGCUUGGUGUACUUUCUGGUUUGACGGGUCAGCAUCGAUUUCUUUGACCAUUGGAUAAAGUCUUUGGGAAUGUGGCAUCUUUUGAUGUGUUAUAGCCUAUUGUCGCAUACAAUGGUUGGGAUCGAGGAACUCAGCACGCCGCAAGGCCGGGCAUAGACCACGCUCGUGCUUAGGAUGCUGGCAUAAUGGCUUUAAUCGACCCGUCUUGAAACACGG